GGCUAUAAUCAGGAUAAGCUGAAGAACUUGAGCAGAACUCUGCCUUCCUCAAACCUUAAGAGGCCAUGAAUGCAAAAAGCUAAAUCUGGACAGCCAAAUUACACCAGGGAUACUGCACUGAGGGGAAUUUAUCAAGAAGUGCCAAGGUUCAAGGACUGGUGUAAAGCCUUACAUCCAACAAUGAUCUGCAGGAUUGUGAGCCAUCCUUAGACAAGAAAUCAAUGUAUGCUUUCCAUGUUCUCCUCAACUUGCUGCCGUCCGGUACAGGGAAACAUAAAUGUACAUCAAGGGAUUUGACAAAGUUGUUUAUCGAAUUCAAGCUGGGAAGGAUCCAGAGGCAGCCAUUCCUGUUAUGCUUGGGAACGAUGGAUGACCCCCGGCAAUUUUUUGUUAUUUUGAAUACUGUUUGGACAACAUCACAUCUGCAGCUGAUCGGCUUUUCAAGCUGCACUAAGUCCUUAACAUACAUUAUGCGAAAGCCCUUAAAUUUUUUUAUAUCUUUUUGGAAAGUACAUGCAUAUAACAUUAAUUUGCCUGGAAGAAAGGUUCCAAAUAAAGUGGCAUAUUAAACUAAUUUCUAACCUGGCAGCACUCAAAUUAUAGGGAUCAACAAAUUAUCUAUCUCUGCAUCUUUUUGAUUUAGAUUUUAUUAUAAAAAUCCUAAUUUAAUUUUUUAUUUGUAUAUCUAGGGAUAGUACACCUGAUGUUAGCAUCAUAAUUGAUGAAAAGCAGCCACAUUAUUAUUAUUAUUUAUUAUUUUAAAUUUCCAUAUAAGCCAUAGCCUACUUGCACCUAAUGCUAAAAAACAUACAACCUGUCAACAUAAUGCAAGUUUGAGUAUCUACUGUAGUUGCUGCAGAACAGAUCCGCCAGAAUUAUAACUGAGACGAGGAAAUUUGACCACAUUACUCCAAUUCUACAACAAUUGCACUGGCUGCCUGUGUAUUAUAGGGUCGUUUUUAAGAUCCUUUUAAUCACGUAUAAAACGCUAAACGGUGAAGGU